UACGUAGGGAGCAAGCGUUGUUCGGAUUUACUGGGCGUAAAGGGCGCGUAGGCGGCAUAUUAAGUCAGCUGUGAAAUCUCCGAGCUUAACUCGGAACUGUCAGCUGAUACUGAUGUGCUUGAGUGCGGAAGGGGCAAUCGGAAUUCUUGGUGUAGCGGUGAAAUGCGUAGAUAUCAAGAGGAACACCUGAGGUGAAGACGGGUUGCUGGGCUGACACUGACGCUGAGGCGCGAAAGCCAGGGGAGCAAACGGG
rnacentral:rRNA from 1 species